rnacentral:rRNA from 1 species
UAAGGAAUAUUGGACAAUGGAGGCAACUCUGAUCCAGCCAUGCCGCGUGAAGGAAUAAGGCCCUAUGGGUUGUAAACUUCUUUUAGACGGGACAAAACCCCUUUACGUGUAAAGGGUUGAUGGUACUGUCAGAAUAAGCAUCGGCUAACUUCGUGCCAGCAGCCGCGGUAAUACGAAGGAUGCAAGCGUUAUCCGGAAUUAUUGGGUUUAAAGGGUGCGUAGGCGGACUAAUAAGUCAGUGGUGAAAGCCUGCAGCUUAACUGCAGAAUUGCCAUUGAUACUGUUAGUCUUGAGUACAGUUGAGGUAGGCGGAAUGUGUCAUGUAGCGGUGAAAUGCUUAGAUAUGACACAGAACACCGAUUGCGAAGGCAGCUUCCUAAGCUGUAACUGACGCUGAGGCACGAAAGCGUGGGGAGCAAACA